rnacentral:misc_RNA from 1 species
AAGAGUUGCAAAACUCCCACAAACCAUCGCGAACGUUACCCAGACGUCGUUGUUUCGGCGGGCUCGCCCGCCGGGGGGGACGCUACCAGACUCUUGCAGUUUAUUCGGCCUCUCUGAGUAUGAUUUUUUAAAUAAGUCA